rnacentral:rRNA from 1 species
GCUCAGGAUGAACGCUGGCGGCGUGCCUAACACAUGCAAGUCGAACGGAGUCGUUUUGGAAAUCUCUUCGGAGAUGGAAUUCUCGACUUAGUGGCGGACGGGUGAGUAACGCGUGAGCAACCUGCCUUUAUCAGGGGGAUAACGCAUCGAAAGAUGUGCUAAUACCGCGUAAGACCACAGCCUCACAUGGGGCAGGGGUCAAAGGAGGAAUCCGGAUAAAGAUGGGCUCGCGUCCGAUUAGCUAGUUGGUGAGAUAACAGCCCACCAAGGCGACGAUCGGUAGCCGACCUGAGAGGGUGAUCGGCCACAUUGGAACUGAGAGACGGUCCAGACUCCUACGGGAGGCAGCAGUGGGGAAUAUUGGGCAAUGGGCGAAAGCCUGACCCAGCAACGCCGCGUGAGGGAAGAAGGGUUUCGGCUCGUAAACCUCUGUCCUAUGGGACGAAGGAAGUGACGGUACCAUAGGAGGAAGCCCCGGCUAACUACGUGCCAGCAGCCGCGGUAAUACGUAGGGGGCGAGCGUUAUCCGGAUUCAUUGGGCGUAAAGCGCGCGUAGGCGGCCCGGCAGGCCGGGGGUCGAAGCGGGGGGCUCAACCCCCCGAAGCCCCCGGAACCUCCGCGGCUUGGGUCCGGUAGGGGAGGGUGGAACACCCGGUGUAGCGGUGGAAUGCGCAGAUAUCGGGUGGAACACCGGUGGCGAAGGCGGCCCUCUGGGCCGAGACCGACGCUGAGGCGCGAAAGCUGGGGGAGCGAACAGGAUUAGAUACCCUGGUAGUCCCAGCCGUAAACGAUGGACGCUAGGUGUGGGGGGACGAUCCCCCCGUGCCGCAGCCAACGCAUUAAGCGUCCCGCCUGGGGAGUACGGCCGCAAGGCUAAAACUCAAAGGAAUUGACGGGGGCCCGCACAAGCAGCGGAGCAUGUGGCUUAAUUCGAAGCAACGCGAAGAACCUUACCAGGGCUUGACAUAUGGGUGAAGCGGGGGAGACCCCGUGGCCGAGAGGAGCCCAUACAGGUGGUGCAUGGCUGUCGUCAGCUCGUGUCGUGAGAUGUUGGGUUAAGUCCC